rnacentral:rRNA from 1 species
UACGUAGGGGGCAAGCGUUGUCCGGAAUCAUUGGGCGUAAAGCGCGUGUAGGCGGCCAGAUAAGUCCGCUGUGAAAUCUCGAGGCUCAACUUCGAGCUGUCGGUGGAAACUGUCUGGCUAGAGUCCGGAAGAGGAGAAUGGAAUUCCUGGUGUAGCGGUGAAAUGCGCAGAUAUCAGGAGGAACACCUAUGGCGAAGGCAGCUCGCUGGGACGGUACUGACGCUAAGGUGCGAAAGCGUGGGGAGCGAACAGG